rnacentral:misc_RNA from 1 species
GAACAGUCUUCCAUGAAAAGAAGUUUUCAUCUACCAUAUACCUCUCAGGGACGCAACCAGGGCUUCAAUCACUAUGUCUACCAUAGAUACUCAGCAAUCAAUCAGUAUUUACAAGACGUGGUCACUGCCACGGCUUCCAUGCCUACCGUCAAUGCCAGCCUGACCACCAUAGGGUUCAGUGCGGAGGGUCGAGAUAUCAAAGUCAUCAAGAUCUCAAGAGGAGAUGGUGUCUCCCGCCCCUCGGUGUUCAUUGACGGUGGGAUCCACGCCCGAGAAUGGAUAGCCCCAGCAACAGUCCUGUAUUUCAUUGGCCAGAUGGUUUACGGAGACGAAUUUGACCUUUCCCCUCAGUUGCUAGACAAAUUUGAUUGGUUCUUCGCACCUCUUCUGAACCCGGAUGGUUAUGAAUAUUCACACGCCACAUAUAGACUUUGGCGAAAAAAUCGAGUGGAGCAAGGAAGAAACUGCUACGGAACAGACUUAAAUAGAAACUUUGGUUACCAAUGGAAUCCUGCUGUGGGCGGGAGUACCAAUGUGUGUUCUGACGUCUACUCGGGAUCACAGGCGUUUUCCGAGAAGGAGAGUCAGGCAGUGGAGACAUUCAUAAUGGACAACCGACAGAACAUGAUGGCUUACCUCACCUACCACUCCUAUGGUCAGAUGUGGCUCUACCCCUGGGGAUACACCUCAAGUCUGCCGGCCGACUGGCAGGAAUUGGACUCUGCUGCCAAGGUUGGGACAGCUGCUUUGGCCCAGUUAUACGGCACCAACUACGUCGUCGGUUCAUCCACAAACGUUCUAUAUUCGGCGGCCGGCGGAUCAGACGAUUGGGCCAAAGGUGGCGCUGGCGUCAAAUAUUCCUACACCAUUGAACUUCGUGAUACCGGUGCGCAUGGUUUUGUACUUCCGACGAACCAGAUAGAACCUAACUGUCGGGAAUCUUGGCGUGGUUUAGCCGAAUUUGCUCUGUCAUUAAACACGAAUAAGGGUGGGCAUAGGGGAUAGAAUUCAAAUAAAAUCUUCCUGUGCUGAUGUGUUUGGUGCUAUUGAAAUGUUUGUUGAAUAUUGAAUAAAAAUUGAUUCAUU